UGAAAUGUAAAUGGAAAUAAAUGAUAAAGUUACUGAAACUUAAAUUGCAUUAAGUAAAUGACUUAAAAGUAAAGCAACAUUAAUAUAAAGUUAGUCAAAUGUUAGUGAAGUGUUUUAAUUGAUUAAGUCAUUCUUUGGAGAACACUCAACCAUUCAUUCACAAGUAUGAAUCCAUGAACCAGGACAUCAUCAAUGGGAAUGGCUCUAACUUGGAUAAAUCAACAUGUAUGCCACUAGCUCUCAUGAAUGGAAA
rnacentral:lncRNA from 1 species